AUUAUUUUACUAUGGUAAACUUUAUUAUGAAAAACCGCUUACUUAUAAGUGCUAUGUUUUUACUUAUUAGGUUUUAAGGAGAAUGCAACAUGUUCCAGGGCCUCUUACCUGCGUGAUUCAUCAUCCAGGUUUUGCACAAAUUGUCUAAAUCCCUACACACAGAACAUUUAUUGUACCGACUAUAAGCCUUUGAGGUGCAGGACUAGAAUACGCUUGGAGCUUCCUGAUCAGAUCGGUCACAAUUUUGGCUUUCGACGACCCCUGCACUGAAGAUGGCAUGCAAUCACGUCCUCCUUUGAAGGUCUCUCAAACUGUGAUGCCAGGUCCAUUGGAAUCGGGGUUUCCUUCAGCUUAUCUUCAAAUACCUCAUCAAACACAAGCCUGAUCACAUCCUCCACAUAACUGUAGAAAUAUUGCAGUCAAUAAAUCUUUUGUUUUGAUCAUUUA